CUCAUCCCCGUAAGACUACCCGCUGAACUUAAGCAUAUCAAUAAGCGGAGGAAAAGAAACCAACAGGGAUUGCCUCAGUAACGGCGAGUGAAGCGGCAAAAGCUCAAAUUUGAAAUCCUUCGGGAAUUGUAAUUUGAAGGUGGCUCAAGCAACCCCAAAAGUUCCUAAGUCCAUUGGAAAAUGGCGCCAUAGAGGGUGAUAGCCCCGUCUGGAACACUUUUGAGGCCUAUCUUGGACCACCAAAGAGUCGAGUUGUUUGGGAAUGCAGCUCUAAGUGGGUGGUAAAUUCCAUCUAAAGCUAAAUAUUGGCGAGAGACCGAUAGCGAACAAGUACAGUGAUGGAAAGAUGAAAAGCACUUUGAAAAGAGAGUGAAAAAGUACGUGAAAUUGUUGAAAGGGAAGGGCUUGCAAGCAGACACAACUUUUUGUUGGGCCAGCAUCGGGGCGAGGGGGGUCAAAAAUGCAUGGGAAUGUAGCUCAUUGAGUAUUAUAUCCCAUGUUUCAUCCCCAUCUCAUCCCGAGGCCUGCGAUUCUAGGAUGCUGGCGUAAUGGUUGCAAGUCGCCCGUCUUGAAACACGGACC
rnacentral:rRNA from 1 species